AUGGCAUUUGCCAACAACUCUUUUCAUUAAUCAAGAACGAAAGUUAGGGGAUCGAAGAUGAUCAGAUACCGUCGUUGUCUUAACCAUAAACUAUGCCGACUAGGGAUCGGGCGUANUUCUUUUUAUGACUCGCUCGGCACCUUACGAGAAAUCAAAGUUUUUGGGUUCUGGGGGGAGUAUGGUCGCAAGGCUGAAACUUAAAGGAAUUGACGGAAGGGCACCACCAGGAGUGGAGCCUGCGGCUUAAUUUGACUCAACACGGGAAAUCUCACCAGGUCCAGACACAAUAAGGAUUGACAGAUUGAGAGCUCUUUCUUGAUUUUGUGGGUGGUGGUGCAUGGCCGUUCUUAGUUGGUGGAGUGAUUUGUCUGCUUAAUUGCGAUAACGAACGAGACCUUAACCUACUAAAUAGUGCUGUUAGCUUCGGCUGAACUGGCACUUCUUAGAGGGACUAUCGAUUUCAAGUCGAUGGAAGUUUGAGGCAAAUAACAGGUCUGUGAUGCCCUUAUAAGUUCCUGGGCCCGCACGCGCGCUACACUGAACGGAGCCACCAAGUACUAUCCUUGGCCCGAAAGGUCCGGGUAAUCUCGGGAGAACUCCCGUCCUUGCUGGGGAUAGAGCAUUUGAAAUU
rnacentral:rRNA from 1 species